GAGCCGCAUGGCGUAGUGGUUGAGUGCUUGCACUGCUACUACCACGGUCAGGAGUUCAAGCCCCCUGUGGGUCA
rnacentral:tRNA from 1 species